ACCAGUUAAACCGUAACACCGCCAUUGAGACUCUCGCGAGUUGAGAACAGAUACCGUCACCGUGGAUUGUGGCGAUAAUUACGGCAAAGAAGUUACCGAGAUAAAGACACGUUCAAGAUAAGCCUGGCUAUCCUGAAGAGCUCCCAAAGGAAGUGGUGAUGAUGACCAUUUUGAGAGAUUCCCCCUGCCGGUUCCUCAUCAAACUCCAAGAGUGGUUUUUGGUGAAAGAGGAGAAAUCACCAUACGGGGUAAGUCUGUUUAUUCAGCACAUUACAUGAAAUAUGCACUGUAAGAGGGUUUGUCUCGUUUCUUAUUGUUUUGUUGAUUUUGUAACUAAAAAUUCUUAAAUCAAGAAGCAUUUCUGAACAAGAACAUAACUCUGUCUUAUUUCAGAAGAGCUCGUGGGUUAUUAAUAUGCCGGUGCGGUAAGGGAAAUAAACUUGUUUCUACUUUAAAAUCUAUCCUGAAUGUAACUGGAAGCCAGUGUAAAGACUGACCUGAGGACUGCUGUCAUGUGCUUGAUUUUUUAUUUUGCAUGAAUUUAAAUGUAUUCUCUUUCCAUUUGUGAAGAUGUUCUGCUUCUAAAGUAUAUAUUUAAUACAUUUAUCUUUUUAAUAAAUCUGUUUUGUUCAAAUGCACUAAAAUAUUCACUGAGAAAUGGAGAAAAAUAUUCAUCUUUAAAAUGGGGUGCACUUAUUAAUGCCCAGUGUCAUAAAUACUAUAUACAGGGCUUUACAAUAAAACCCGCCAACCCGCCAAAUGUGGGUAGAUUUCAGCUCUGGCGGGUUGGACAGCCGCUCCCACUAGACACUUCGGCAGGUUGGCAAUAAUUUUGACAUUGUAGUUUUCUUAAAGCAGAGUUCGACAAUAAGCAUGGCCCAAAAUGUGAUCUUAGAAUCGAGAAACAGCACGACUGACAACAAUAACUGUGUUCACGCGAGACAAAGAAGGUGAAUACCGUAUGAGAGGAGGAUUACUCGCGCGCACAGGGGACACGUGGACGGAGACUCUGGCGUACGUGCUGUUCUGGGGCUCCGCCAGCGUGGUGACCGGCGGCGUGAUCCUCUUCAACGGACGGGACUUUGUGGACGCCCCGCGGCUGGUGCAGAAGGAGAAGAUGGACUGAACCUGCGUGUGUGGGAAGCAGUCGGGCCCCACGGAGCCUUCAUCCUCAUCCUCACCCUGGAGCCUGUACUGAUGACGAUGAUGAUGAUGAUGAUGAGGGCCCGGGGCCAAACACACGGGGUCACGCUGCUCUCCACACCAGCAUCAAGCCACGCCCACUUUCCCAUGAUUCCAUCUGCCGGUCGCACCGCUGGACGCUCAGGCUGACCGUGAGGCCCUCGGCCCCGUCCUCACGGUGCAACCAGAUCCGCCAUUUUGGCUCAAGCGCUGGCUGAUGAUGACGUGUUUGUCUUGUUUUCUAAUAAACGCUGAGUGACAGUAAGG